rnacentral:rRNA from 1 species
UACGUAGGGUCCGAGCGUUAAUCGGAAUUACUGGGCGUAAAGCGUGCGCAGGCGGUUUUGUAAGCCAGAUGUGAAAUCCCCGGGCUUAACCUGGGAACUGCAUUUGGGACUGCAAGGCUUGAGUACGGCAGAGGGGGUAGAAUUCCUGGUGUAGCAGUGAAAUGCGUAGAUAUCAGGAGGAAUACCGAUGGCGAAGGCAGCCCCCUGGGUCGAUACUGACGCUCAUGCACGAAAGCGUGGGGAGCAAACAGG